rnacentral:rRNA from 1 species
GAUGAACGCUGGCGGCGUGCCUAAUACAUGCAAGUCGAGCGAACAGACGAGGAGCUUGCUCCACUGACGUUAGCGGCGGACGGGUGAGUAACACGUAGGUAACCUACCUAUAAGACUUGGAUAACUUCGGGAAACCGGAGCUCAUACCGGGUAAUAUUUCGAGCGGCAUGGUUCGAUAGUGAAAGAUGGCUUUGCUAUCACUUAUAGCUGGACUUGCGCCGUAUGAGCUAGUUGGUAAGGUAACGGCUUGCCAAGGCAACGAUGCGUAGCCGAGCUGAGAGGGUGAACGGGGACACUGGGACUGGAAGACGGUAUAGAGUCCUACGGGAGGCCGAAGUAGGGACGCGUGCGCACUGGGCGAAAGACUGAAGGAUCGACGCCGCGUUGAUGAAGAAGGUCUGCGUGGCGUAUAACUCUGUUCGGAUGGUAGACCAAUCGCGUAAGUAACUGUGCACUUUGUGACGGUACCUAGAUAGGAAGCCCCGGCUAACUACGUG